rnacentral:rRNA from 1 species
GAUGAACGCUGGCGGCGUGCCUAAUACAUGCAAGUAGAGCGAACGGACGAGAAGCUUGCUUCUCUGAUGUUAGCGGCGGACGGGUGAGUAACACGUGGAUAACCUACCUAUAAGACGGGGAUAACUUCGGGAAACCGGAGCUAAUACCGGAUAAUAUUUUGAACCGCAUGGUUCAAAAGUGAAAGACGGUCUUGCUGUCACUUAUAGAUGGAUCCGCUCUGCAUUAGCUAGUUGGUAAGGUAACGGCUUACCAAGGCAACGAUGCAUAGCCGACCUGAGAGGUUGAUCGGCCACACUGGAACUGAGACACGGCCCAGCCUCCUACGGGAGGCAGCAGUAGGGAAUCUUCCGCAAUGGGCGAAAGCCUGACGGAGCAACGCCGCGUGAGUGAUGAAGGUCUUCGGAUCGUAAAACUCUGUUAUUAGGGAAGAACAUAUGUGUAAGUAACUGUGCACAUCUUGACGGUACCUAAUCAGAAAGCCACGGCUAACUACGUG